rnacentral:rRNA from 1 species
GAUGAACGCUAGCGGCAGGCCUAAUACAUGCAAGUCGAACGGUGUCUUCGGACAUAGUGGCGCACGGGUGCGUAACACGUAUGCAACCUACCUUACAUUGGGGGAUAGCCUUUCGAAAGGGAGAUUAAUACCGCAUAAGACAGUAGCUGGGCAUCCAGCAGCUGUUAAAGAUUUAUCGAUGUAAGCUGGGCAUGCGUCCAAUUAGCUAGUUGGUGAGGUAACGGCUCACCAAGGCAAUGAUUGGUAGGGGAACUGAGAGGUCAAUCCCCCACACUGGCACUGGGAUACGGGCCAGACUCCUACGGGAGGCAGCAGUAGGGAACAUUGGGCAAUGGACGCAAGUCUGACCCAGCCAUGCCGCGUGCAGGAUGAAGGCGUUAUGCGUUGUAAACUGCUUUUAUACAGGAAGAAACGACUCUUGCGAGAGGCAUUGACGGUACUGUAUGAAUAAGCACCGGCUAACUACGUGCCAGCAGCCGCAGUAACAC